rnacentral:lncRNA from 1 species
AUUUGAAAUAGGGUUAGGCCCACUAGGAGCCUCAUGAGCAGCAGCAUUGAACACUCGAGGCUUGUGGGAUGAAGAUGAAGCUGGCGAAGGGUUAAUCCUAAAAUGCCUAUCCUUUCGGCCUAUCAGAAAUCUGCCAGUAAUUCUGCCUCUAUGAUCUCCUAAGCUGUGUUCCCGUUGCUCGGCCGUCGCUAGAAGAAGGAAGAGCAAGAGAGUGAAGGAGACAAUAUGUGGAGAAAUGGAGGUGGUGGUGCUCAUUAUGCAAUUCGUAAUCCCAUCCCUUUCCAUACAAAAAUCAUCUAUAAAAUGGAGGGCCUGGAAAUUGAAGGACCUCGAGAAGAAUAGAAAAGCACGGUUGUAUAAGCUUACUUGGUAUGUUUACACACUCGAACGAUGAUGAGGAGGGGAGAAAUGAAACUUGCUGAGAGUGAGCAG